rnacentral:rRNA from 1 species
UCUUGCGAUUGAGACUUCAGUGUCCCCUUCGUCUAGAGGCCCAGGACACCGCCCUUUCACGGCGGUAACAGGGGUUCGAAUCCCCUAGGGGACGCCACUUGCUGGUUCGUGAGUGAAAGACGCGUGCCGAACUAUCUCAAAACUCAUCUUCGGGUGACGUUUGAGAUAUUUGCUCUUUAAAAAUCUGGAUCAAGCUGAAAAUUGAAACGACACACAGUUAAUGUGUGUUCGAGUCUCUCAAAUUUUCGCGACACGANNNNNNNNNNNNNNNNNNNNNNNNNNNNNNNNNNNNNNNNNNNNNNNNNNNNNNNNNNNNNNNNNNNNNNNNNNNNNNNNNNNNNNNNNNNNNNNNNNNNNCACUAUCGUUAACUGAAUACAUAGGUUAACGAGGCGAACCGGGGGAACUGAAACAUCUAAGUACCCCGAGGAAAAGAAAUCAACCGAGAUUCCCCCAGUAGCGGCGAGCGAACGGGGAGCAGCCCAGAGUCUGAAUCAGCUUGUGUGUUAGUGGAACGGUCUGGAAAGUCCGACGGUACAGGGUGAUAGUCCCGUACACCAAAAUGCACAGGCUGUGAACUCGAAGAGUAGGGCGGGACACGUGGUAUCCUGUCUGAAUAUGGGGGGACCAUCCUCCAAGGCUAAAUACUCCUGACUGACCGAUAGUGAACCAGUACCGUGAGGGAAAGGCGAAAAGAACCCCGGCGAGGGGAGUGAAAAAGAACCUGAAACCGUGUACGUACAAGCAGUGGGAGCACCUUCGGGUGUGACUGCGUACCUUUUGUAUAAUGGGUCAGCGACUUAUAUUCUGUAGCAAGGUUAACCGUAUAGGGGAGCCGCAGGGAAACCGAGUCUUAACUGGGCGUUAAGUUGCAGGGUAUAGACCCGAAACCCGGUGAUCUAGCCAUGGGCAGGUUGAAGGUUGGGUAACACUAACUGGAGGACCGAACCGACUAAUGUUGAAAAAUUAGCGGAUGACUUGUGGCUGGGGGUGAAAGGCCAAUCAAACCGGGAGAUAGCUGGUUCUCCCCGAAAGCUAUUUAGGUAGCGCCUCGUGAACUCAUCUUCGGGGGUAGAGCACUGUUUCGGCUAGGGGGUCAUCCCGACUUACCAACCCGAUGCAAACUACGAAUACCGAAGAAUGUUAUCACGGGAGACACACGGCGGGUGCUAACGUCCGUCGUGAAGAGGGAAACAACCCAGACCGCCAGCUAAGGUCCCAAAGUCAUGGUUAAGUGGGAAACGAUGUGGGAAGGCACAGACAGCCAGGAUGUUGGCUUAGAAGCAGCCAUCAUUUAAAGAAAGCGUAAUAGCUCACUGGUCGAGUCGGCCUGCGCGGAAGAUGUAACGGGGCUAAACCAUGCACCGAAGCUGCGGCAGCGACACUAUGUGUUGUUGGGUAGGGGAGCGUUCUGUAAGCCUGCGAAGGUGACCUGUGAGGGUUGCUGGAGGUAUCAGAAGUGCGAAUGCUGACAUAAGUAACGAUAAAGCGGGUGAAAAGCCCGCUCGCCGGAAGACCAAGGGUUCCUGUCCAACGUUAAUCGGGGCAGGGUGAGUCGACCCCUAAGGCGAGGCCGAAAGGCGUAGUCGAUGGGAAACAGGUUAAUAUUCCUGUACUUGGUGUUACUGCGAAGGGGGGACGGAGAAGGCUAUGUUAGCCGGGCGACGGUUGUCCCGGUUUAAGCAUGUAGGCUGGUUAUCCAGGCAAAUCCGGAUAAUCAAGGCUGAGGUGUGAUGACGAGGCACUACGGUGCUGAAGUAACAAAUGCCCUGCUUCCAGGAAAAGCCUCUAAGCAUCAGGUAACAUCAAAUCGUACCCCAAACCGACACAGGUGGUCAGGUAGAGAAUACCAAGGCGCUUGAGAGAACUCGGGUGAAGGAACUAGGCAAAAUGGUGCCGUAACUUCGGGAGAAGGCACGCUGGUGUGUAGGUGAAGUCCCUGCGGAUGGAGCUGAGACCAGUCGAAGAUACCAGCUGGCUGCAACUGUUUAUUAAAAACACAGCACUGUGCAAACACGAAAGUGGACGUAUACGGUGUGACGCCUGCCCGGUGCCGGAAGGUUAAUUGAUGGGGUUAUCCGUAAGGAGAAGCUCUUGAUCGAAGCCCCGGUAAACGGCGGCCGUAACUAUAACGGUCCUAAGGUAGCGAAAUUCCUUGUCGGGUAAGUUCCGACCUGCACGAAUGGCGUAAUGAUGGCCAGGCUGUCUCCACCCGAGACUCAGUGAAAUUGAACUCGCUGUGAAGAUGCAGUGUACCCGCGGCAAGACGGAAAGACCCCGUGAACCUUUACUAUAGCUUGACACUGAACAUUGAGCCUUGAUGUGUAGGAUAGGUGGGAGGCUUUGAAGCGUGGACGCCAGUCUGCGUGGAGCCAACCUUGAAAUACCACCCUUUAAUGUUUGAUGUUCUAACGUUGGCCCCUUAUCGGGGUUGCGGACAGUGUCUGGUGGGUAGUUUGACUGGGGCGGUCUCCUCCCAAAGCGUAACGGAGGAGCACGAAGGUUAGCUAAUCCUGGUCGGACAUCAGGAGGUUAGUGCAAUGGCAUAAGCUAGCUUGACUGCGAGCGUGACGGCGCGAGCAGGUGCGAAAGCAGGUCAUAGUGAUCCGGUGGUUCUGAAUGGAAGGGCCAUCGCUCAACGGAUAAAAGGUACUCCGGGGAUAACAGGCUGAUACCGCCCAAGAGUUCAUAUCGACGGCGGUGUUUGGCACCUCGAUGUCGGCUCAUCACAUCCUGGGGCUGAAGUAGGUCCCAAGGGUAUGGCUGUUCGCCAUUUAAAGUGGUACGCGAGCUGGGUUUAGAACGUCGUGAGACAGUUCGGUCCCUAUCUGCCGUGGGCGCUGGAGAAUUGAGGGGGGCUGCUCCUAGUACGAGAGGACCGGAGUGGACGCAUCACUGGUGUUCGGGUUGUCAUGCCAAUGGCACUGCCCGGUAGCUAAAUGCGGAAGAGAUAAGUGCUGAAAGCAUCUAAGCACGAAACUUGCCCCGAGAUGAGUUCUCCCUGAGACUUUAAGUCUCCUGAAGGAACGUUAAAGACGACGACGUUGAUAGGCCGGGUGUGUAAGCGCAGCGAUGCGUUGAGCUAACCGGUACUAAUGAACCGUGAGGCUUAACCUU